UACGAAGGGAGCUAGCGUUGUUCGGAAUUACUGGGCGUAAAGCGCACGUAGGCGGACUUGCCAGUCAGGGGUGAAAUCCCAAGGCUCAACCUUGGAACUGCCUCCGAUACAGCAAGUCUUGAGAUCGGGAGAGGUGAGUGGAAUUCCUAGUGUAGAGGUGAAAUUCGUAGAUAUUAGGAAGAACACCAGUGGCGAAGGCGGCUCACUGGCCCGAUACUGACGCUGAGGUGCGAAAGCGUGGGGAGCAAACAGG
rnacentral:rRNA from 1 species